CGGAUGCAUUUUUCUCACAUCUCUGAUUCAUUUCUUAGCAUGAAUUUCUGUAAUCGAAAUGAAAGGGAUGGCUAAUGGCUCUCUGAUGUAGAAGCAAAAUGCCACCUUUCUCAGGAAGAGUUCUUCACCCUUUUGGUUAUAAACUCACGGCUGGAUCAAGGGGCUCUGAAAUUAGGAUAUUAUCAGAAUUCUCAAAAUUAUUUCUCAUGUAGCAUCUUUUUAUAUAAGUCAAUGUCAGUGGUAAAAAGUUCGGAUCGUUCUAUUUUGCAAAUAAGUUCUUCUUGCCUUAUACCAGCACCACUGGCUUAUCGGUGAUAAUUGGUGUUUUUUGAUACCCUCGUGUGUGUUUAUAGCAUCUUCUAUCACUCAGAGAGAUCCAUGAGAGGCCGCCUGUGUGUUUCUAAAGAUAUCCAUUUCUCAAUGUGGCACUCUCCUCCAGUCACUGCAAGCAGAAGCUGUUAUCACAGACACAGACAGAAGGGAAAUGGUGUAAAGACGCAGCAGGGAGAAGGUGGGAUCUACAAGCCGGGGAGAGGGGCUGGAACGGAUCCUGCCUUCAUAGCCUCAGCAGGAACCGCCCCUGCCAGCACCUUCAUCUUGAACUUCCAGCCUCAAGAAUGGUAGCAGUGUACUAAAACAUCAAAUGAGCCUGUGUCCUUGCUCUGAAAGAUGCAACCAGAAAAUCCAAGCAUGGUUAACUUAUGAGGGUCAAAAUAUCUGAGGACAAAAAUGUUUACACCUAAAAAUGUAAGUAGGCCCUCUAUGAGUGAAUCUGUUAAUUGUUCAGAGGAAAAGAGAGGGGUGGUUAAGAGUUUAGGCCCGGGGCCCAGAGUGCUCGGGAUUGAAUCUUUGUUCUGCCACCUAUAAGAUUUUGAGCAAGGAAUUUAACCUUUGUGUCCCAUAGUUAUCUAGGAUGCGAAAUACUAGACCCUCACUAGACUGUUGAGAAUACAUGUAAGAUUGGUGCAGUGCGGAAUGUUAGCAAUUUCUGUUUGUAAUAAUAAUAGUCUUUCCUCACAAAUGAAGGAAAUAAUGUACACAGUGGUCCCAGG
rnacentral:lncRNA from 13 species